rnacentral:rRNA from 1 species
UAUGCCUACGGGAGGCAGCAGUGAGGAAUAUUGGUCAAUGGUCGGGAGACUGAACCAGCCAAGCCGCGUGAGGGAAGAAGGUACAGCGUAUCGUAAACCUCUUUUGUCAGGGAACAAAGGCGGGGACUAGUCCCCGGAUGAGGGUACCUGAAGAAAAAGCAUCGGCUAACUCCGUGCCAGCAGCCGCGGUAAUACGGAGGAUGCGAGCGUUAUCCGGCUUUAUUGGGUUUAAAGGGUGCGCAGGCGGCCUGUUAAGUCAGCGGUAAAACACCGGGGCUCAACCCCGGCGAGCCGUUGAAACUGGG